rnacentral:lncRNA from 1 species
AUUAUAACCUGAUUCACUAUGAAAUCAAUACAAUGAUUUGUUGAAUGCUACAUAGCACUAUGAGGCCUAUAUAGGAGAAAAAUGUAUGUAUCUAGCUACUCUUUAAUUUUAAUCUAGUGAAAAAUGUUGAUCUGAAUACAAUUAAUAUAAUUGAUUCUACACUGGUACAAGUUACAUUUAUUAUCUAUUUCCACUGUCCUUUUAUGGUAUGUCCUAAGCUGAUUGUUGUGGAUCCUUAGUUGCUUCUCACAGAUUCCCCUUCAGGACCAAAGGCCUUAUUAUUUAGAACUGGGAAUAUUGCUGCAGGCUGUCUUCAGGAACCUUCUCCAGGGUGUUCCCUCUGCCGAAGAAGGCUGUCAUGCCCGAGUUAAUGCAUCCCUCCAGGGAGCAGCUGCCCAAUGUGAGGCCAUAAGGCCUUGCCCCUUCUUCCAAUUGCCAGAGAACUCCAAAGAGUAAUUCUAGCUUCAGAGCUCACUAUAUGAUCUAGAACUUUAAGGUGAUGUCAUUGAAGCUCUGAUUCUCCUCCUGCCAUACCCUGCUUUCUUCCUUCCCUCAAGAACGGUUGAUGCUGAGAAUAAUAUCAUCCCGUACUCCAAUCGACGCGUUCAAGAACCUGACCUGCAACAGACUGUACCAGGAUGGGUUCAAUAAAGAUGUUACAAUGUGAUGUUAGAAUUGGAUUGCUCAGCAUUACCAUUACCCAGUUGGCCAUGAGGACUUCACCCCCAGCAGAAAAAGAAACAGACUUAAAACCAUCCCAGGCUGCACAUUGUUAAAGCCUGGCGUUGAGGCUGCCGACUGACCGAGGAACUCACAAGCGUAGGUGAAGUGCUGCAUGAGGGGCAAGUCUUGCACUAAAACCACAAGGGUCUCUAGCCCAAUGAGUGGAGUUUGAUAAUAAUUCUUGCUACAAGUAAAACAAACAAAAAACAAACAACAAAAAGCAUCCUGGCAUCUUUGGGUGGCUCAGCAGGUUUGGCACCUGCCUUCAGCUCAAGGCAUGAUCCUGGAGACACGGGAUCAAGUCCCACAUCGGUCUCCCUGCAUGGAGCCUACUUCUCCCUCUGCCUGUGUCUCUCUGCCUGUC